rnacentral:lncRNA from 1 species
CUUUUCAGAUAACUCAGAGGGGUUAAAGAAAGAUGGGUAGAACUGCCACUGGCUUGGAGCUGCUAACAGGCUGAUAUAGUACUUGGAGAAAGCCUUUUGCUUCAGGACAGAAGAGCUGUGAAAACACUUGAAGUAGCACAAGUGAUGCAUGGAGUUUGUAAGAGAGAAAAAGAAGGCCAGUCAUCAGGAACUGAUCCGGGAUGAUAGCAGCACGUCCCUGGCAUGGCUGUACAAAUAAUUUCAGUAACAUUAUAUAUGACCAGUGGGAAUGAGGAUGCUCCAGCUUUCUGUCUCUAAUUCUGCUAUUUCUUGGCUUGGCUCACUGUCAGCCCAUUUCCAAAAAAAUCUUUGCAACAUGGAAGAAUUUUCCUGGAGAAAUUUUCAGCUGCUACAAGGAAAACAGAUUGAAGAGUUCAUGAAAAUAUAGUUCUCUUGGUCCUACCACCUUCUCCAUCAUCGCCAAGUGCCUCCAAACUACUUUCUGUGCCUUAAAUCCCACUGACAGUGGUGAUGUGCUCCCAGUGACCAUAGCAAGAAGUCCUGGAUCCUGGCCUCUACCAGGUCAGCUCUCGCAGCAGCUUAGGGCAGCAUCCAGAUGGCUGCAGACACACAUGUGUGGUUACAGGGUUCCUUCUGAGGAUUAGCAAAGGGUACGGUGUGGCUCUUUUCAAAUAUUUGAACUGUUCGGCAAAGAAAUUGCAGAAAACAAUAGAAAAUACCAAAUUAGAAAAUACCAAACCCAAGGAAGUCAUGCGCAUAUCUGGGUGUAUCAGGUAAGCUGGCAUUGCAGUUACAAUCUGCAGUUAUUUCCUAAGCAAACAACCCUUGCGUUACCUAUUUGUUCUGUACUUGGUUUUCAGUUAUUGACUUGCAUUUGAAAUAUGGCAAUUAAAGUAAUUUUCACAUAUGUUCAUAGGACUUUC